rnacentral:rRNA from 1 species
UACGGAGGAUGCGAGCGUUAUCCGGAUUUAUUGGGUUUAAAGGGUGCGUAGGCGGAUCGUUAAGUCAGUGGUCAAAUUGAGGGGCUCAACCCCUUCCCGCCAUUGAAGCUGGCGCUCUUGAGUGGAAGAGAAGUAUGCGGAAUGCGUGGUGUAGCGGUGAAAUGCAUAGAUAUCACGCAGAACCCCGAUUGCGAAGGCAGCAUGCCGGCUUCCGACUGACGCUGAAGCACGAAAGCGUGGGGAUCGAACAGG